GUGAAGUUUGUAUAUGUUAAUGGCGUAUUAAUAUAUUUGUAUAGAUGGCAGCUGUCUUUUCAUUGCUUAAAUUUAUUCCAAUCAAUAGACAUCGUCUGCUUCUGUUUAUGGUUCUGUACGACGUAUACAGUGCGAUCAUAUGUGUGUUACAAAGCUUUGUUGUCCAAUAAUAUAUAAUGAUGGCCUUCGGUGGAUUACCAAAUUUAAUAUUAGCAGUGUGAUUUUGGACGUGAAAUAUAUAUACUGCAAUCACGAGCUAGAGUAAAAGG
rnacentral:lncRNA from 1 species